rnacentral:lncRNA from 1 species
UUUAUUUAAAUGGAAUAAGAACUGAGGGGGACAGAGGAGAAGGACUGUUGCAGCCGACAAAGCAUGGUGACCCAGCUUGUCACCCAGUGACCUGUGAGAAGGAAAUAAUGAACUGAGCUGUUUUCCACAUGAGUGCUGUCUUCACCCAGGCAUACAUCCGCAGAACGGUGGAGGUCAGGGUGAUGAAGGAGGAGCGGGCUUGGCGGCACACAUGCACUCUAUUCCUG